rnacentral:rRNA from 1 species
UACGUAGGUGGCAAGCGUUGUCCGGAUUUACUGGGCGUAAAGAGCGCGCAGGCGGUCGUUCAAGUCGCGUGUGAAAGCCCCCGGCUCAACUGGGGAGGGUCACGCGAUACUGAUCGACUCGAAGGCAGGAGAGGGAAGUGGAAUUCCCGGUGUAGUGGUGAAAUGCGUAGAUAUCGGGAGGAACACCAGUGGCGAAGGCGGAUCUCUGGGCCUUGCCUGACGCUGAGGCGCGAAAGCUAGGGGAGCGAACAGG